rnacentral:lncRNA from 1 species
UUUUAUUGGGGAACAAAAAAUUCUGGAGAAAAUCCCAUCUAAUGAGGAUUAAGGGGGGCAGCAUCCCAAGGUCAGGGGCGACAAUUGAGUCUUCAGGGUAGUGGCCAGACACGCCUUCGCACGGACAAGCCCUUGGACCUGAGAAGGGUGGGGAAAGCUCUGGACCCAAGAUGUGCCUAAGCGCCUCUCACCCAGCCAGGGAGGUAACUCAAAUCACGUGCCAGGAUGGCCUCCCACAUAUGGGUGCAAAUCUCCCUGGGUAACGGGCUGCUUCAGUUAGAAAUGUGUGAGGGUCAGAUUCAGCAGGAGGGGACACAGCCUCAGUGUGCCUAGGGAUGUCCUGUUAGCUGGAUGAUCAUCACGGAUGAUGGACUGUAGGCACAAGACAGGGGUAAGAAAAGACCCAUUUCAGUGGCCUCACAGCAGAGGAAGUGAGGGUGCGUUCAGAUUAGGAACAGGCAUGUCCUCGAGGAGGGAAUCUGAAGGUGACGGUGUGGGUGGGGGGAGGUGGGAGCAGGAGCCACACUCUGCCCUUCCCUGGUCCUUCCGAGCAGCUGAGGCAGGAAGAUCAAGAGUUCAAAGCCAGCCUCAGCAACUUAGCAAUGCCCUAAGCACCUCACCAGACCCUGUCUCUAAAUAAAAUAUAAGAAAGGGCUGGGGAUGUGGCUCAGUGGUUAAGCACCCCUGGGUUCAAUUCCUGGUACCAAGAAAAAUAAAAAUAAAAAUGAGGAGCAUUUCUUCUAUGGAAGCCAACAGAACCAACCAAAGGGACAUGAACCCUGGGGGGAACGUGGUGCCGUGUUGAAGGGCUUGACUCUCAGAGGCGCCCUCCUUUCUGGCUGUUUUCUGUAUAAAGGGAGUGUUUCCAAUGUGUGGUUCUGUGGCCCCACUUCGCUGUCCACCACACUGGUCUCCCACACUCGGGAGAACUCCAAUGCUUGAGCUAGCGCUUGGGCAGCUUGUACCCAGCAGAGCUGAGGGGUCAGCACUCGUGAGCACCCAAGGGUGUAAAACCCUCCCCAAAGCAGAGUCAUCUCCAACCUGAGCCGGGCUGGGCAGUCUGGCCCCAGCCUUCUUCCCCCACCCACUGCAGAUCGUAAGCCCCAGGCCAAAUGGGACUGUGGACUCCAGGCCCUGUGGGUUUCGCAGGUGCACGUGUAAACUGCCCCCUGGAGCCACCAGUCCUGUCCCCCACCCAUGUCAUGAGCUCCUCAUCCGUGUCCCACUCGGCAGCCUUGCGGGCUGGCUCGUACCGUCUGGUGUCUUUCUCUGCCUCUCUGGGGAGAAGGGCAAUGGGGGCCUGACUGCCUGACAGCCUGCUGGUGGGCUGGCAGAGACGCCAAAGAACCUCUUCACCUGCUCAGCGGGCCUCCACUCCUGGGGACAAUGACAUCUGUAACUGUCACACAUUGGGGACAACGGAACAGAUGUGCUUCUGCUUCUGCCUCACCCUCAGCAAGGGCAGCCCCAGGCCCA